AAGGCUUUGAUGUCAUUUUCUCAACUUCUCCACCACUCCAUCAAGCAAAUAUUUGAUAUGGAGGAUACCACAUGGGAUUGUAGAGACUGGGAAUAGUAUUGAAGGUUAAAUUACUUCUGGAUUCUCAUGACAACAGAUGCCCUACAUGGAGUGUCUGGACAAGAGUCUUACUAGUGUUAGACUAUCUGAAGAUAUUUGCAUCUAAGAAAUUUUUUUCUGAAAAGUAAGG
rnacentral:lncRNA from 1 species